UACGUAGGGUGCGAGCGUUAAUCGGAAUUACUGGGCGUAAAGCGUGCGCAGGCGGUUGUGCAAGACAGAUGUGAAAUCCCCGGGCUCAACCUGGGAACUGCAUUUGUGACUGCACGGCUGGAGUGCGGCAGAGGGGGAUGGAAUUCCGCGUGUAGCAGUGAAAUGCGUAGAUAUGCGGAGGAACACCGAUGGCGAAGGCAAUCCCCUGGGCCGGUACUGACGCUGAGGAGCGAAAGCGUGGGGAGCAAACAGG
rnacentral:rRNA from 1 species